AACGAACGCUGGCGGCAUGCCUAACACAUGCAAGUCGAACGAGACCUUCGGGUCUAGUGGCGCACGGGUGCGUAACGCGUGGGAACCUGCCCUUAGGUUCGGAAUAACUCCCCGAAAGGGGUGCUAAUACCGGAUAAUGUCUUCGGACCAAAGAUCUAUCGCCUUUGGAUGGGCCCGCGUUGGAUUAGCUAGUUGGUAGGGUAAAAGCCUACCAAGGCGACGAUCCAUAGCUGGUCUGAGAGGAUGAUCAGCCACACUGGGACUGAGACACGGCCCAGACUCCUACGGGAGGCAGCAGUGGGGAAUAUUGGGCAAUGGGCGAAAGCCUGAUCCAGCAAUGCCGCGUGAGUGAUGAAGGCCUUAGGGUUGUAAAGCUCUUUUACCCGGGAUGAUAAUGACAGUACCGGGAGAAUAAGCUCCGGCUAACUCCGUG
rnacentral:rRNA from 1 species